rnacentral:rRNA from 1 species
UAUGUAGGGACCAAGCGUUGUUCGGAUUUACUGGGCGUAAAGGGCGCGUAGGCGGCAAUUCAAGUCAGCUGUGAAAUCUCCGGGCUUAACUCGGAACGGUCAGCUGAUACUGCUUUGCUAGAGUGCAGAAGGGGCAAUCGGAAUUCUUGGUGUAGCGGUGAAAUGCGUAGAUAUCAAGAGGAACACCUGAGGUGAAGACGGGUUGCUGGGCUGACACUGACGCUGAGGCGCGAAAGCUAGGGUAGCAAACGGG